rnacentral:lncRNA from 1 species
GACAACACUGAAAAUAUUGUAUCUGGUUGGCCAUUUGUUGAAAGGCAAAUCUCUUCAGUGGUAUACUGAAGGCCCAUGCUUAUUUAGAGAAAAUGAGAGACAUGAAGCAUCUAAGAAGACAGGAAAUAAAAGAAAUGUGCUUGAAGACGGUGCUUCCCAUUCUUCCUGAUGGAAGGAUAUGCAUAGAAAAUGAUACCAUUGGCAUGAGACACAAAAGUUAGUUGACAAGGCUGCUCGAGGUAAAAGGUUUUCAGGCCAGGUGACUCUGGAAGCCAAAGGCCUACCAUUUAACAGUGACGAAAACGAGUACGGCAGCACAUCCAAAUCCCUUGCUGCCUGGAGGACUGCAGUGGCACACUGAUUAGGCAGCUAAGCCCGCAGGUUAUUUCAGGGGUACCACUACUCAUCUUGACAGAAAACAUUCACUGGGGACGUGAUUUAGUUGGAAGGAAAAUUGAUCCACGACUUUAUUUCUUCAUAAUAGAUUUAGGGAUCAAAAUAUCAUUAUGAACAGGAUUUUGAAAGAAGCUGAUCCCAACUCUCAUAGAUGACUUUGAAGAAUUCAAUACUUCAGUGGAG